AUAUGCACAGCAGAUGACAAACAAUAUACGCUCGACGCCGUCAUUUGUACACGUUACGAUAUUCUCCUUAUAUACUUGCACACACGUUAAUAAUGAUAUAUAAAAAUAUAAAAUGUGUACUUAUGUGUGUAAGAAAACGGAGACGUCGUCGUUCACACGCAUUGAGCUUAAUUGAAAUAAUUAGUCGAGGUCGAGCCGUAUGCGAUGCGCAGUCUUUCGGUUAAAUAUUCAUCGUCGGGAUAUGGACCAAUUGAGUGUAUAUAAUUCUACUCAUGCAUAUAUAGAUACCGUUUUUGCCAUCGCAGAAUCAUACAUCCCCACGGUCGGAAUUGAAUUUGUAUCCAACCCUAAAAGGAAGAUCAUGCACAUUCACUUAAGACCUAUGAGAGUUUUUUAAUUAUUAUUUAAUCAAAACGCGGAGGUGUGGUUUCGUUUGAUGAAACGCCGUUCAUGCGUUAUACCUUUAAAGCGAAUGGUGAAGAAACGCCUGAAACGACGAUGCGGAUUUCAAACAGUGCUCGUGUAGAAUAAAAACUGCAACGGCGUUUAAUAUGUAACCGGAUUGUGGUCAGGAAAGGCGUAACCCGAAUAACUGCUGUUCCGAUUAGAAUAUAUCAUAAGUACCGCCAACGACUUAAAAACGUUUCAAGGGAUACGUUGAAGAUUUUCACAAAUUAUUUUAUUUUAAUUAUCUAUAUUUUUAAUUGUAUUAACAUGGCCAGACGCUCAUUUACAACGUUGCUUUGAAUUAAAUUACAUUAAGAAAUUUGAACAUAAUAUUAUACUCACUAUAGUUGAUGUAAUGGGCCAAAUGUAUCUAAUUUAAAAUGACAAAGACAUUCUAACCGCCUGAUUGCUGUUUGUCCAACUUUAAAAUUUAAGUGCAGUUUAGGUAAUUUAUAUUUUCAGUAGUGUUAAGCUACCGUUAAAUUUUAAGUACUCUUAUAUUGCCUACUAUAGAAUAUUCUUGGGGAUUAUCGAGAGUAAACUGUAUUAAUAGUCUAAUUGAAAGAUAAAACUUGUGAUACUGGAAAUUUGGAUAAUUUUACAGACGAUUAUAAAAACAAUGUUUAAAGUUUCAAUUUUUAGACAUCGUUUUAUUUUUAAGAUCCAAGCGAUUGAUGUGACCUCAGAUCUGUGAUAUGCUAAGUAAAACAGGCUAUUUACCUAACACCAAUCUCAAUUUUUCAGAUUUUUUUGUAAUACACAAACUCUGAACUUCUGCCAUAGGUUGGUCAUAAUAAUCAUAAUUCAAAUAAUACUAUAUACAAAAUCUUGUAUAUUGUUGUUUAUAAUUUGUCAAACUAGAUAAUUAUUGUUAUUAUUGAUACAAAUAUGUGUUUUACCAAAGAUGUCAUCUAAAAUAAUAACAUAUCCUUACAACGAAUUAUACCGGUUUCUCCAUUUUAAAAGAUUAGAAAACUCAUUAGAUAAUUGACUUUAUUAAU